rnacentral:rRNA from 1 species
AUUGAACGCUGGCGGCAGGCCUAACACAUGCAAGUCGAACGGUAACAGGAAGAAGCUUGCUUCUUUGCUGACGAGUGGCGGACGGGUGUGAAAUGUCUGGGAAACUGCCUGAUGGAGGGGGAUACCUACUGGAAACGGUAGCUAAUACCGCAUAAUGUCGCAAGACCAAAGAGGGGGACCUUCGGGCCCCUUGCCAUCGGAUGUGCCCAGAUGGGAUUAGCUAGUAGGUGGGGUAACGGCUCACCUAGGCGACGAUCCCUAGCUGGUCUGAGAGGAUGACCAGCCACACUGGAACUGAGACACGGUCCAGACUCCUACGGGAGGCAGCAGUGGGGAAUAUUGCGCAAUGGGCGCAAGCCUGAUGCAGCUAUGCCGCGUGUAUGAAGAAGGCCUUCGGGUUGUAAAGUACUUUCAGCGGGGAGGAAGGGAGUAAAGUGAAUACCUUUGCUCAUUGACGUUACCCGCAGAAGAAGCCCCGGCUAACUCCGUG